CUACGGGAGGCAGCAGUGAGGAAUAUUGGUCAAUGGUCGGGAGACUGAACCAGCCAAGCCGCGUGAGGGAUGAAGGUACAGAGUAUCGUAAACCUCUUUUGUCAGGGAACAAAGGCGGGGACGUGUCCCCAGAUGAGUGUACCUGAAGAAAAAGCAUCGGCUAACUCCGUGCCAGCAGCCGCGGUAAUACAGAGGAUGCGAGCGUUAUCCGGAUUUAUUGGGUUUAAAGGGUGCGCAGGCGGUCUGUUAAGUCAGCGGUCAAAGCCCGGGGCUCAACCCCGGCCCGCCGUUGAAACUGGCAGUCU
rnacentral:rRNA from 1 species